AUUGAACGCUGGCGGCAUGCCUUACACAUGCAAGUCGAACGGUAACAGGUCUUCGGAUGCUGACGAGUGGCGAACGGGUGAGUAAUACAUCGGAACGUGCCCGAUCGUGGGGGAUAACGAGGCGAAAGCUUUGCUAAUACCGCAUACGAUCUACGGAUGAAAGCGGGGGAUCUUCGGACCUCGCGCGGACGGAGCGGCCGAUGGCAGUUUAGGUAGUUGGUGGGAUAAAAGCUUACCAAGCCGACGAUCUGUAGCUGGUCUGAGAGGAUGAUCAGCCACACUGGGACUGAGACACGGCCCAGACUCCUACGGGAGGCAGCAGUGGGGAAUUUUGGACAAUGGGCGAAAGCCUGAUCCAGCCAUGCCGCGUGCAGGAUGAAGGCCUUCGGGUUGUAAACUGCUUUUGUACGGAACGAAAAGCCUCUUUCUAAUAAAGAGGGGUCAUGACGGUACCGGAAGAAUAAGCACCGGCUAACUACGUG
rnacentral:rRNA from 1 species